CCAACCACCCUUGCUAUUGGCCAUUCUAGGGUUUUGAUCUCUCUUGUUUUUCAUUAGAAAGGUCUGGGUUUCAGCUAGUAGGGCAUGGGAUGUCUAAACAGCUAACCUGGCUUAGGCACCUAAUGCCAGAAUCCUGAAUGGAAGGAGGCACUUAAAAUCCAGAUCAAUGGGAGUUAGACCCCUAAAUAUCUUUAAGGAUCUAGACUGAAUUCCCUUUCCUCUGCACAUCACUCCUGGCUAGCUUAGGGGACUGCUUGCUGGCUUCUGAGGAUCCCUUAUUUAGGGUCAUCUAUGAAGGUUUUUAAGGAUCAGAGAUAAGCCUAAAGAGGUCACAGGAAUGAGGAAGCAGAGGCCUCUGCCCUAGGGCUUUCAGAGUGUCCAUGAAGCAGCUUUUCCUGAGAGAUGACUCCUGCCCCUUCAUCUGCUGUAUAACCCCCCAUAGGACAAGACUCAAAAUCAAGUGCAAUGGAAUAAUUACAGUAUUUAUGGUAGCUACAGUAUUUAUCUUAUCAAAAAUCAGACAGACGAAUAAACUUGCUCAAGAGUCAUAACUCAACACUGAGUUAUUCAGA